GUGAAUUAAACAUGCUUGGUGUCUUCGCUUCGGCAAGGCCCUUGCUUAAAUCACAUCCUGACACCUGUGAACUGUAAGACGUAUGAUGAGGUCUUUGGCCAAGUCAUCGUCUGCCCAUUUUUAACAAACAAUUAAUGUAACAAACGUAGUCUUAUUAUAACCUAAUA
rnacentral:misc_RNA from 1 species